GAUGCAAGUUGAUUAUUGAAACUGAGUCUAUAGGCAUCCAAAAGGAACCAGGGAUUGCGUGGUCAUAAGAACAGUGGAGUCAUGAGCAGGGAUGGGGAAAGAGAGACAUUGGGUGACAGCUGGAGCCUGGAAAAACAAGCAGAUAUGUGUCUGCUCAGAAGUAAGUCCAGGUGAGAUCAACAGGACUUCCUUUCAGAGAGGAACCAUCCAUGCCUCGUGGCAGAUCACGGGGGAACUGAUGGGAAUUUCAAAAGCAGCUUGCUAAGCAUUUCACAGAAUCUUCUGUUGACCUCUCGGUUCAGAAUCGUUCUUAACACAGUAGCAGCUGUCCCUGCCGAAGAAAUCAUGGAUUCAGUUAAAUUCCCCCCAAGCAUCUCGCGGCCUUUAGGCAUGUGCUAUAAAUUUAAAAGUUCUAAUUAUAGCCGUGAGCAGCAGGAAUUACAGUCAUGAAAAGCGGCAACAAAUGGAAGAAUAGCUCAGCAACUGAAAGAGAUCGAUUUUGCCUUCCCC